CGGGGUGAGUAACGCGUGAGGAACCUGCCUUUCAGUGGGGGACAACAGUUGGAAACGACUGCUAAUACCGCAUAACGUACUGGUAUCGCAUGGUACUGGUACCAAAGAUUUAUCGCUGAGAGAUGGCCUCGCGUCUGAUUAGCUAGUUGGUAGGGUAACGGCCUACCAAGGCGACGAUCAGUAGCCGGACUGAGAGGUUGGCCGGCCACAUUGGGACUGAGAUACGGCCCAGACUCCUACGGAAGGCAGCAG
rnacentral:rRNA from 1 species